GGGCCUGUAGCUCAGGGGAUAGAGCAGCGGUUUCCGGGGCCGCGUGUCGGAGGUUCGAAUCCUUCCAGGCCCG
rnacentral:tRNA from 2 species